rnacentral:rRNA from 1 species
UACGUAGGGUGCGAGCGUUAAUCGGAAUUACUGGGCGUAAAGCGUGCGCAGGCGGUUCGUUAAGUUCGUUGUGAAAGCCCCGGGCUCAACCUGGGAAUGGCAUUGAGGACUGUGGAGCUAGAGUGCGGCAGAGGGAGGUGGAAUUCCACGUGUAGCAGUGAAAUGCGUAGAGAUGUGGAGGAACACCGAUGGCGAAGGCAGCCUCCUGGGCCGACACUGACGCUGAGGGCACGAAAGCGUGGGGAGCAAACAGGG